rnacentral:rRNA from 1 species
UACAGGGGGUGCAAACGUUGCUCGGAAUUAUUGGGCGUAAAGCGCACGUAGGCGGUUUGUUAUGUCGGAUGUGAAAGCCCUUGGCUCAACUGAGGAAGUGCAUCCGAAACUGGCAAGCUAGAGUAUGUAAGAGGGUCGCGGAAUUCCCGGUGUAGAGGUGAAAUGCUUAGAUAUGACAUAGAAUACCUAUUGCGAAGGCAGCUUACUACGCAGAUAUUGACGCUCAUGCACGAAAGCGUGGGGAUCAAACAGG